rnacentral:lncRNA from 1 species
UCCAUUCAAGUCAAUUUAAUAUAUUAAUUGGGUUAUAUGAAUAAUAUCACUACACAUACUGAAUGUUGAUUGGUACGAAUAUAAGAGUUUAUCAGUGCCGGAGAGCACAAGGAACCCUAAUCCUUGAAUUAUGCAAUGAAGUUGUCAAACUCAUCAUAGUAGUUGGCGUGCAAGGUUUGUAAGACAAGGAGAUAAUACAAAUUAGACGGUG